ensembl:snoRNA SNORD66 small nucleolar RNA, C/D box 66
UUCCAAUGAUGACUUCUUAUUAGUGCCACGUGUCUGGGCCACUGAGACCCCGUGAUGGAACUGAGGAUCUGAGGAA